rnacentral:rRNA from 1 species
UACGUAGGGGGCAAGCGUUGUCCGGAUUCAUUGGGCGUAAAGAGCGUGUAGGCGGCCAGGUAGGUCAGCUGUGAAAACUCGAGGCUCAACCUCGAGACGCCGGUUGAAACCAUCUGGCUAGAGUCCGGAAGAGGAGAGUGGAAUUCCUGGUGUAGCGGUGAAAUGCGCAGAUAUCAGGAAGAACACCAAUGGCGAAGGCAGCUCUCUGGGACGGUACUGACGCUGAGACGCGAAAGCGUGGGGAGCGAACAGG